UUAAAUUUCACUUUAUCUCACAUUCAUGUAUUAAUAAACUCUGUUCCAAUUGAAAGCUGCCAGAUAGAAAAUAUUACUUUAAAACUUUUAUCAGUCUAGCAGAAAUAUAUUUUUAUAAUUUAUCUAGCGCUUAUUUUCUCUGCUCUGUAUUCGUCUUCCUAUUGUUUAUCGGCCAUAAUAUAGCAAAGUUAAGAGCAGCUUUAAGCCGUAGAAUGUUUUUGACUAACGACGAGCAACUGUAGAGCUAACAACGGGACUAGCUGACUAGCUUAGGCUACGCCUAAGACUAAUCUCAAAUGGUAUCUAUUCACAUCAAAAAUAUAUUCUAGUUUCAGAUUAUCCAAAAGCUAUUGUCUUGGUUUCAAAAUCUUGUUGAUCUGUGUUAUCAAGUCAUGUGUUUAGAGUUUAAGCUAGAAACUUUCACUUGAGCCAAAUUGGAUAUAAAUUUGAAAUAUAUGAUUCAUAUGUAAAUAAAUUCACGCUGAUUGGAACUGCAACCUUUUCACGGCAACACAUAUCAAUUAGUUAUAUUUAUAUAUAACAUUUCUUUAUAUGGCCAUGGAUGGAACUAAUGGAAAUUUGUACACUCUGUAUAUUAAUAUACAUAAGCAUAUUAAUUUGUAUACAUACAUAUAUACCCGUGUCAGUAAGAAUUUCUGAACUGGCAAAUUAUAUGCAAUAGUAAGCAAAACAGACAGAAUACAAGAAAAGAAAACCAAAACAAAACAAAA